GAGGUGUGGCCGCGCCCUAAAACUGGAGCAAGGCCGGUACCUAAAGGCUCCUGGGAGCCAAAAGAGCAAGUCAGGGAACUAGCUUUGGUUGGGUUCGGUGGUACACAAAGCACAAGGCCUGGGUUGGGGUUAGGAGGAAAUGAGACUUGCGGCGGGUCGGGGCUGAAGAUGUGGCAGCGCCCUGAACCUGGAGAAAGGCUGGUACGUAAACGCCUGCGUCGCAAUCUGGAGUCAGCUGGAGUGUCCCGGCAGACAGAAUCCCUUUGGUCAAGGAGAGGGAGAGAGAGGUAAGGGUCUGGUCUUACUUUUUAAGCAGGAAGAAGACUACAAACCACCAUCUACCAUCUGCCAGAUACCUGAAGAAGGUGAGAGGACUGGGACUGUGGGUGAGAGUCCUGUUUGGGAUUUGUUUAUCCAGGAGCUUUUUAUACUUGUUGAAAACCCCACCCAGGGGUUGUUAUCCUGAAUGAGAGGAGGGUAUCCUCUGCCACAGCUGAGAAUGCCCAUGGUAACUGGGGAAGGAGGAAGUCACUGUUGCCUCAAAUGUUCCAGCCGAGAAGUAGCAGCUUUGCCAUAUGCUGGGUGACUUUGUCUCAGGACAGUGUGGGGCCAAAGUGUUUAUUCUGCACCAGCAGCUAGCAGACUCAAGGGAAAAGUGCAAUGCUGAGAAGUGGGAACAUCUUGCUAAUUACAGUGAGAAAGGCAGAAAUAUGUGUUUGCGGGGAGGCAGCCGGGCCACUCACCUUCUAAGAAACAAAAUGUGCUAUGAAGCAGGAAGCACACACGGCAUCCUGUACUUUCAUAUGGCUGGAUGCAUCUCUUCAAGCUUAUCCCAAGUGCUGCCUCUCUAACCUCACCACACGAAUCACAGCAACAUUGCAGAUAAGGAAAUGGAGGUCAAGGGCUUGGCUCAAAGUCACCACAGCAGUUAGUGGGGGUCAAAGAUUGCAAUGAGCAUUUCUCUUCUUCCCGCCCCAGAUGAUUGGACUUAACAAGGCCAAGGAAAGCUUAAGUGGGUCCUGAUCCUUGGCUUUCCUUAAACCUCAGCAGGGUGGGAAUGAGUAAGAGGAGAAGUAUAGAGUGUGAGCUUCUAUCGCCCACUGCCUGCCUACCCAGGGACUGUAAGGUCUAGGUGGUGAGAUGAACUCAAAACUGACAACAAUUAAACACUUUUAUGAAAGCUACCUGAGAAGAAAUCUACUGACUUGGAAGUUACGUUCAAGGGAUCAUACAGGAAAGUCAUGGGCUCCUCAGCCAUCUCCAGACACCUAAAUAAAAAGCAAAUUUAAUAAAAGGGACUGAUCACUGGGAUACUC